rnacentral:rRNA from 1 species
AAAUUGAAGAGUUUGAUCAUGGCUCAGAUUGAACGCUGGCGGCAGGCCUAACACAUGCAAGUCGAACGGUAACAGGAAGCAGCUUGCUGCUUUGCUGACGAGUGGCGGACGGGUGAGUAAUGUCUGGGAAACUGCCUGAUGGAGGGGGAUAACUACUGGAAACGGUGGCUAAUACCGCAUAACGUCGCAAGACCAAAGAGGGGGACCUUCGGGCCUCUUGCCAUCAGAUGUGCCCAGAUGGGAUUAGCUAGUUGGUGAGGUAACGGCUCACCAAGGCGACGAUCCCUAGCUGGUCUGAGAGGAUGACCAGCCACACUGGAACUGAGACACGGUCCAGACUCCUACGGGAGGCAGCAGUGGGGAAUAUUGCACAAUGGGCGCAAGCCUGAUGCAGCCAUGCCGCGUGUAUGAAGAAGGCCUUAGGGUUGUAAAGUACUUUCAGCGGGGAGGAAGGUGUUGUGGU